rnacentral:rRNA from 1 species
CGGCUCAGUAACACGUGGAUAACCUACCCUCAGAUCUGGGAUAACUCCGGGAAACUGGAGAUAAUACCGGAUAAUCCGUGAACGCUGGAAUGCCUUACGGUUGAAAGCUUUAGCGUCUGAGGAUGGGUCCGCGGCCGAUUAGGUAGUUGCUGGGGUAACGUCCCAACAAGCCGAUAAUCGGUACGGGUUGUGAGAGCAAGAGCCCGGAGAUGGAUUCUGAGACACGAAUCCAGGUCCUACGGGGCGCAGCAGGCGCGAAAACUUUACACUGCGCGAAAGCGCGAUAAGGGGACCUCGAGUGCGUGCGCAAAGCGUACGCUUUUCAGAUGCCUAAAAAGCAUCUGGAAUAAGGGCCGGGCAAGACCGGUGCCAGCCGCCGCGGUAACACCGGCGGCUCAAGUGGUGGCCGCUAUUAUUGGGCUUAAAGGGUCCGUAGCCGGACCAGUUAGUCCCUUGGGAAAUCUUACGGCUUAACCGUAAGGCUGCCAAUGGAUACUGCUGGUCUUGGGACCGGGAGAGGCAAGAGGUACCUCAGGGGUAGGAGUGAAAUCCUGUAAUCCUUGAGGGACCGCCAGUGGCGAAGGCGUCUUGCUAGAACGGGUCCGACGGUGAGGGACGAAAGCUAGGGGCACGAACCGGAUU